rnacentral:lncRNA from 1 species
GGCUACAAUCUUAGUGCCACAACAGAUCCAGCUGGUUCGAUGUUUCAUACCAAAUAAAAAAAAAAGGUCUAUGAGCCACAACAACUUGAUAAAAGGUGAAAAAUAAAUCUCUUAGUCCCAGCACAAGGGCCAGAAUAGAUAUGCCCCCAUUGUAGAAAGAACCGUGGUAGCAGACUGUGCUACAAGUUGAUAAAUGGAUGCUUCAAAUGUGACAGUACUCAACAUCGGAUCAAAGAGUGUCUUAUCAACAAAGAGUAGACCAUACCAAUAACUU